rnacentral:tRNA from 1 species
UCCCAUGUGGUCUAGUGGUUUGGAUUCCGGGCUCACCCAGGGGCCCGGGUUCGAUUCCCGGCAUGGGAA